rnacentral:misc_RNA from 1 species
CCCUAGCCCCGAUAGUAACGGUUACCCCGCAACACGCGUAAGCCUUAGCCCUGGUGUGAGGAGUAUGAGUGGAUAGCGGGAUAAAGC